GGAGCACUCACUUCAACUACUCAGUUUCAUAUUCUUUAUCUGGAAAAUGAGGGGAUUGGAUUAUAAGGCCUCUAAAAUCCUUUUCCUCUCUAAGUCUUUGAACUAGUUCCUAUGAGCCAGUGAAUCUGGGCAGGGAAUGGGCUGAGUAAAUUGAAUAUGGAUUGUCAAAAGGACAAAAAACAGGGAAAAUCUCUUUACCUAGAGCAGUAGUUCAUGAUAGAGAUUUGGUGAGCAGAAUAUUUGGAAGACAGAUGGAGGGACACAUUAGUUUUGGGGAAGAAUGUGUUCUCAACAUCAAACAUUUAUUGAAAAUUUAAUUUAGUUAAGUUUUGGGAACUAUUAUUUAAGAUAUUGGGGAAGAAGAAAUGAUGGAAAGAGGCUGGUAUCUUCAGGUGACCAAAGAGUACAGUACAGCUGUUAAUGUUUAUGUGGCUUCUAGUAGGAGAGGAAGGGGCAGGAGUUUGCCUGUACAAUUACUGUAUCUUGUGAUUUCAUUUCUGUUAUUUUAUCCUUCCAUUGUAUACUGACCCCACUGACUCAUCCUUGGUACAGGGAAGAAACCUGGUGAAAAGACCUGAGUCAAUGACAUUUAAAUGACUUUUACAAUACAGGAUAUCAAAAUACCUUGAAGGAGUCCAGGUUUCUGUAGGGGAAUGAAAUCAUAAGAUGGAAGAUUACCCACUAUUGUCAUCACAAUGUUAUUUGUGGUGUUUCCAGGCAAGGUGACUUCAAAGGCUUUGGCUAACUUAUAUUUAGUGAUGAAUUUUUUGGCAGGAGUUGUUGCCAGCCCUCAAACUCAAUCCAACCAAAACUUGGGGAUGGGACAAAUCUGGACAUGAAAAAUAUCUUCAGAUCAGGGACUGAAUAUGAUGUUUCAAAGGGGAUAUUGUUCUCUGAGGUGCUUAUAAGAGCAGUUGUUCUCGGUCCAUGUAGCAAACGUAACAUAGACACCAUGGCUGCUACCAAGUGGCUACUUCUCCUUUUCUCAGUAGCCCUGUUGGGUCUGAGCUCAGCUCAAUUCACUGAUGAGGAAAACAACUUACAGCAGGAUAAUGAAAACUAUGGCAAUGAUGAAGAUGAUAAUCAACAGCCUGGUCCUCAAGAUCCCCCUGGAGAUGAUGAAUCAGGAAGUCCACAGGGAGGCCCUACAGGUGGUCCACAGGGAGGCCAUCGAGGCAGCCAGCAGGGAGGUCCUCAAGGUGGCCAGCAGGGAGGCCCUCUAGGUGGCCAAUAAGGAGGUCAACCACUCUCCUCAACACCAAGUGCAUGAAAAGGAAGAUGUGCAUUUGGGAGGUGCCCUUCAAGUCCUCAUGUGGACCCAGAUAUUGGGACAGUACAUACCUCUUGAUCUUUUCCACCCUUAUGUACAAUAUCAAUAAAUACACUAGUAGUUAAUCA
rnacentral:lncRNA from 1 species